rnacentral:rRNA from 1 species
UACGUAGGGUGCAAGCGUUAUUCGGAAUUACUGGGCGUAAAGCGUACGCAGGCGGCUUUGCAAGACAGGUGUGAAAUCCCCGGGCCUAACCUGGGAACUGCAUUUGUGACUGCAUGGCUAGAGUUUGUCAGAGGGGGGUGGAAUUCCACGUGUAGCAGUGAAAUGCGUAGAUAUGUGGAGGAACACCGAUGGCGAAGGCAGCCCCCUGGGAUGUGACUGACGCUCAUGUACGAAAGCGUGGGGAGCAAACAGG